UGGAUGAUGUGGAUUAAUUCGAUGCAACGCGAAGAACCUUACCUACCCUUGACAUGUCCGGAACUUGCCAGAGAUGGCUUGGUGGCCCGAAAGGGAAUCGGAACACAGGUGCUGCAUGGCUGUCGUCAGCUCGUGUCGUGAGAUGUUGGGUUAAGUCCCGCAACGAGCGCAACCCUUAUCAUUAGUUGCUACGCAAGGGCACUCUAAUGAGACUGCCGGUGACAAACCGGAGGAAGUGGGGAUGACGUCAAGUCAGCACGGCCCUUACGUCCAGGGCUACACACGUGUUACAAUGGUCGGUACAGAGGGCAGCUACCUGGUGACAGGAUGCUAAUCUCGAAAACCGGUCUCAGUUCGGAUCGAAGUCUGCAACUCGACUUCGUGAAGCUGGAUUCGCUAGUAAUCGCGCAUCAGCUAUGGCGCGGUGAAUACGUUCCCGGGCCUU
rnacentral:rRNA from 1 species